rnacentral:rRNA from 1 species
UACCGGCGGCUCGAGUGGUGGCCACUAUUACUGGGCUUAAAGCGUCCGUAGCUUGAUUGUUAAGUCUCUUGGGAAAUCCACCGGCUCAACCGAUGGGCGUUCAGGAGAAACUGGCAAUCUAGGGACCGGGAGAGGUGAGAGGUACUCCAGGGGUAGGAGUGAAAUCCUGUAAUCCUUGGGGGACCACCUGUGGCGAAGGCGUCUCACUAGAACGGCUCCGACAGUGAGGGACGAAAGCUGGGGGAGCAAACCGGAUUAGAUACCCGGGUAGUCCCAGCUGUAAACGAUGCGCGUUAGGUGUAUCGGUGACCACGAGUCAUCGAGGUGCCGAAGGGAAACCGUGAAACGUGCCGCCUGGGAAGUACGGUCGCAAGGCUGAA